rnacentral:rRNA from 1 species
CGCAUCUGUGCAUGCAGCAUAUCAAUAAGCGGAGGAAAAGAAACUAACAAGGAUUCCCUUAGUAACGGCGAGUGAAGCGGGAAGAGCUCAAAUUUGAAAUCUUCAAGGUUUUACCUUGACGAAUUGUAGUUUAAAGAAGUGUUUUCUGUUGAAGUUUUGGUAAAAGUUCUUUGGAAUAGGACAUCAUAGAGGGUGAGAAUCCCGUAUUUGACCAUUAUUUUCAGCUGUGUGAUACACUUUCAAAGAGUCGGAUUGUUUGGGAAUGCAGUCCAAAAUGGGUGGUAAAUUUCAUCUAAAGCUAAAUAUUGGCGAGAGACCGAUAGCGAACAAGUACCGUGAGGGAAAGAUGAAAAGAACUUUGAAAAGAGAGUUAAACAGUACGUGAAAUUGUCAAAAGGGAAGCGUUUGACACCAGUGUUGUUUUCCUCGAAAAUCAAUUAAAAAGAGUUAGAUUUUGUUGUGUAUUGACCUUAACAGCUUGCAUUUCAAUUUUUCUUGCUUUUUUUAAUGCACUUUUCGUUUAACAAGUCAACAUCAGUUUCUUUUGUUGUAAAAAGGUCAUUGGAAGGUGGCUUUCUUUUCGGAGAAAGUGUUUAUAGCCUUUGACUCCUGCAAUCGGAGAGACUGAGGUCUGCAGCGUAGAUCCUUCGGGGUUAGAUACAUUUGUGCUAAGUUAUAGCUUUUUAUAGACAACUUGUUGACUAUGAUUAGUCUUGUAGCUUACUCGCUUAUGCUAUUUUACCUACGCUUAGGAUGUUGAUGUGAUACUGCGAGCA